UGAUAGUGUCAACCCAAGUUAGCUUGGUC
rnacentral:sRNA from 1 species